AUUGAACGCUGGCGGCAGGCCUAACACAUGCAAGUCGAACGCGUGGCGGACGGGUGAGUAAUGUCUGGGAAUCUGCCUGAUGGAGGGGGAUCACUACUGGAAACGGUAGCUAAUACCGCAUACUCUCGGAUGUGCCCAGAUGGGAUUAGCUUGUAGGUGGGGUAAGGGCUCACCUAGGCGACGAUCCCUAGCUGGUCUGAGAGGAUGACCAGCCACACUGGGACUGAGACACGGUCCAGACUCCUACGGGAGGCAGCAGUGGGGAAUAUUGCACAAUGGGCGCAAGCCUGAUGCAGCCAUGCCGCGUGUAUGAAGAAGGCCUUCGGGUUGUAAAGUACUUUCAGCGGGGAGGCGUUACCCGCAGAAGAAGCACCGGCUAACUCCGUGCCAGCAGCCGCGGUAAUUC
rnacentral:rRNA from 1 species